CCUCCCCUAUCUCUCAUCCACACUGAUACAAAUCAUAAAUUGACAAGGUACUAAGAUGUAUAAUGUCUCCAUCAAAUCUAGGAAGUUAUUUAAACUUUUUUAUUCUUAUUCGUAGACAAAUUUUCAAUGAUGUAUGAAAUAGGAGUUGUUCUUCAACUGGUAAUUCAUAAAUAAUAAAUAAUACAUAAAUAAUGAUUUCACUUAAUUCCAAUGCUUUUUUUCAAGAUACAAAAUUGUCAUCUUGGGCGGUAUAGAUGACAUUAUCAUGGAAGAGUGCGAGCUGAUCAAGGGGUUGAAAAUGUAGAUAUUGCCAGAUGUAUGUUCCCUGUCUGAGAAACAGGCUGGCAAAAGUGUCCAUAACCAGAGAGUGGAAUGCUUAUGGAGAGAUGUUUGGAGUGCUGUGACAUGCCAGUACUUAAACUUGCUGCACAGUUUGGAGCAAGACGGCUACCUUGACCUGUCGAAUUCUAUCCACCUCUUCUGUGUGGGAUAUGUGUUCCUACCUCGUCUGCGGCAGAUCUGCAGAAUUUCACAGAGUUGGAAUAAUCACCCUUUAAGUACAGAGGCGAACCUGACACCUCACCAGCUGUUGCCUUAGCACUACACAAUGGAUACAAAUGAUCAAGUCAUCAUCAAGCUUCAAGUGGUAUUUAUGUAUUAAUUUGUGAUCUGGUAAUGUAAAAGUCUAAUGACAUUUUCUUCUGUUUUUAAGUAUAAAGUACUCUGUAGCCACUUAGCGUGGACAAGAGGUGAUACUACACACACAGUUAUAUCAGCUGUUUUGGUGAACCCCUCCUGCAUCUGAACUGGCUGAUAGAGGGCACAGCAUGAUCAUAGGU